GGAAGGACCCAGCUCUUAAUUGAUAUCUGAGCAAGGGCCGACUGGGUUACUGCACAAACCUGCUGUUUGGUAACCACCUUGUUUUCUUGACCCAGCUCAGCUGGGUUGAUCUAGUUUUUGCCAGGAUUGAGUGGCUCUUCACCUUUUCCUAAUUAAAGUAACUCCAAGGAACCAGAAGCCAAUCCAUCACCUGCCCCAAACCUAGAGAAGCCCUGAGAGUAACAGCCUCUUUUAUCUGCUCUCUUUUCUCUUGAGAGCUCUUUUGCUGCAUGAACUAUAUUGCUUGCCUGGUGUGCAGCUAUUGUCCUGGAUUGAAUUAGCUGGUCUGCAGACCCUUGCAGAUGCAGAGCUUGCACAGAUAAUCCUUGCUGACAUGGGGGAGAGCUUCGUCAUAUGAGUUCCAGCAGGUGCCUUGAAACAAGCUAUGGAAGAACAGGGUGAGGAGCAUUAUGUGGCUGAAGUCGGGCUACUUCUGGACUUACCAACUGGUCUUGCAUUCCCAGACGCCUCCACCUGAGAACAGAUCCAUGGCACGAAGCAUGCUUUUACAAGGAUUAAAGUGAACAGCGGGAUGGGGGAAAGGAGGGAGGGAAAGGUAUUUUGCAUCGGUCCGAAAUGCUAUAUUUUCCAGUAUAAUAUUCAUGCUGUUUCCCUUGGGAAUUGGUGCUCAUGAAUUCAUUAGGACCAAGAGGUUGCUCUCUUUGUCAGCAUACAAAAACAGCCCGCUUCUGUCCAGAACAUAAAUUACAGUGUGGGGGAGAAAAACUUUUUAUUUUUGUAAUUUAAUUUUCUGGCAAAUAAAAAGGGACCAUACGUGACUGGAGCUUCAGCACUUCAAUAAUAUUAUGCAAAUAGCUUAGGCACAUAUUAGAGCUCUGUAUUUGUGCAGUGGAGCCUGUGUGCUCACGAUGGUAUUGGUGUACAGGGGCACGGGGAUUUGUGCUUAAGUGUCCUCCUGGUAUUUUCAGAGAGGCAAAUAAAGUGAAACA